CACCAGGUGUCUCCCUCAGCUCAUUUUCUCCAAAUCAGAAGCAUCAGAUUUGUGGAGACGCUCUGCCUGCCAGACACAGCUCAGGGCAAAGAAACAUGUCUAUCCUCCACAAUAUACAGGCCUGUGUUAUUUAGUUCAGAAUAAAACCACUAACCAGAAUGAUGACAGAUUUCAAACAUGCUGAAUAUGAAGAGUAGUAUCAUUUAAACUCACAUGAUUAUCAGCCAUAAGAACAAAUUCAGAUUUAUAUUGAUGUAAGGUAUAUAAAUGUAAGUACAGUUUGAAUCAGUGCAAUAUUAUUUUCACACAUCAAUGGACCACUGAACUUCUCAGCUUCUAAAAUGUAAAGCCUCAUUUAGAAACUACACAAGUACAUAUAAUGGUCAGGGAUCAACAUG